AAUAGAUACCCAGGUAGUCCACGCCGUAAACGAUGAAUGCUAGGUGUUAGGGGUUUCGAUACCCUUGGUGCCGAAGUUAACACAUUAAGCAUUCCGCCUGGGGAGUACGGUCGCAAGACUGAAACUCAAAGGAAUUGACGGGGACCCGCACAAGCAGUGGAGUAUGUGGUUUAAUUCGAAGCAACGCGAAGAACCUUACCAGGUCUUGACAUCCCUCUGACCGGUCUAGAGAUAGGCCUUUCCUUCGGGACAGAGGAGACAGGUGGUGCAUGGUUGUCGUCAGCUCGUGUCGUGAGAUGUUGGGUUAAGUCCCGCAACGAGCGCAACCCUUGAUCUUAGUUGCCAGCACUUUGGGUGGGCACUCUAGGAUGACUGCCGGUGACAAACCGGAGGAAGGUGGGGAUGACGUCAAAUCAUCAUGCCCCUUAUGACCUGGGCUACACACGUACUACAAUGGCCGAUACAACGGGAAGCGAAGUCGCGAGGCGGAGCCAAUCCUAUCAAAGUCGGUCUCAGUUCGGAUUGCAGGCUGC
rnacentral:rRNA from 1 species